CAGCAGCCACGGGAAAACGGAGGGAGCUAGCGUUGUUCGGAAUUACUGGGCGUAAAGCGCGCGUAGGCGGUUACUCAAGUCAGAGGUGAAAGCCCGGGGCUCAACCCCGGAACUGCCUUUGAAACUAGGUGACUAGAAUCUUGGAGAGGUCAGUGGAAUUCCGAGUGUAGAGGUGAAAUUCGUAGAUAUUCGGAAGAACACCAGUGGCGAAGGCGACUGACUGGACAAGUAUUGACGCUGAGGUGCGAAAGCGUGGGGAGCAAACAGGAUUAGAUACCCCAGUAGUCCCUGUCUCUUAUAA
rnacentral:rRNA from 1 species